rnacentral:rRNA from 1 species
AGUACGGCCGCAAGGCUGAAACUUAAAGGAAUUGGCGGGGGAGCACUACAACGGGUGGAGCCUGCGGUUUAAUUGGACUCAACGCCGGAAAACUCACCGGGGGCGACAGCAAUAUGUAGGUCAGGUUAAAGGUCUUACCUGAAUCGCUGAGAGGAGGUGCAUGGCCGUCGUCAGUUCGUACUGUGAAGCAUCCUGUUAAGUCAGGCAACGAGCAAGACCCGUGCCCACUGUUACCAGCAUAUCCUUUAUGGAUGAUGGGAACUCUGUGGGGACCGCUGCUGCUAAAGCAGAGGAAGGUGCGGGCUACGGUAGGUCAGUAUGCCCCGAAUCUCCCGGGCUACACGCGGGCUACAAUGGUUGGGACAAUGGGUAUCUACUCCGAAAGGAGUUGGCAAUCUCUUAAACCCAAUCGUAGUUCGAAUUGAGGGCUGUAACUCGCCCUCAUGAAGCUGGAAUCCGUAGUAAUCGCGUUUCAACAUAGCGCGGUGAAUCUGUCCCUGCUCCUUGCACACACCGCCCGUCAAACCAUCCGAGUGAGGUAUGGGUGAGGGCACGAACUUAGUGUCGUGCUCGAACCUAAAUUUCGCAAGGAGGGUUAAGUCGUAACAAGGUAGCCGUAGGAGAAUCUGCGGCUGGAUCACCUCCU